rnacentral:rRNA from 1 species
UAGGGAGCAAGCGUUGUCCGGAAUUACUGGGUGUAAAGGGUGCGUAGGCGGCUUAACAAGUCAGACGUGAAAUGUGGAGGCUUAACCUCCAAGCUGCGUUUGAAACUGUAAAGCUUGAGUGGAGUAGAGGCAGAUGGAAUUUCCGGUGUAGCGGUGAAAUGCGUAGAUAUCGGAAGGAACACCAGUGGCGAAGGCGAUCUGCUGGGCUCUAACUGACGCUGAGGCACGAAAGCGUGGGUAGCAAA